rnacentral:rRNA from 1 species
UACGGAGGGUGCAAACGUUGCUCGGAAUUAUUGGGCGUAAAGAGCUCGUAGGCGGCCUGUUGCGUCCGCUGUGAAAUCCCGGGGCUCAACCCCGGGCCUGCAGUGGAUACGGGCUGGCUAGAGGCAGGCAGGGGAGAACGGAAUUCCUGGUGUAGCGGUGAAAUGCGCAGAUAUCAGGAGGAACACCGGUGGCGAAGGCGGUUCUCUGGGCCUGUACUGACGCUGAGGAGCGAAAGCGUGGGGAGCGAACAGG